rnacentral:rRNA from 1 species
CGAAAGCCUGACGGAGCAAUCUCGCGUGAGGGAUGACGGCCUAUGGGUUGUAAACCUCUUUUUUCAGGGAGGAAUAAAAUGACGUGUACCUGAAGAAUAAGCAUCGGCUAACUCCGUGCCAGCAGCCGCGGUAAGACGGAGGAUGCAAGUGUUAUCCGGAAUCACUGGGCGUAAAGCGUCUGUAGGUGGUUUAAUAAGUCAACUGUUAAAUCUUGAAGCUCAACUUCAAAAUCGCAGUCGAAACUAUUAGACUAGAGUAUAGUAGGGGUAAAGGGAAUUUCCAGUGGAGCGGUGAAAUGCGUAGAUAUUGGAAAGAACACCGAU